rnacentral:rRNA from 1 species
ACGAACGCUGGCGGCAUGCCUAACACCUGCAAGUCGAACGAUUGCCUUCGGGUGAUAGUGGCGCACGGGUGCGUAACGCGUGGGAAUCUGCCCUUAGGUUCGGAAUAACAGCUGGAAACGGCUGCUAAUACCGGAUGAUAUCGCGAGAUCAAAGAUUUAUCGCCUGAGGAUGAGCCCGCGUUGGAUUAGGUAGUUGGUGGGGUAAAGGCCUACCAAGCCGACGAUCCAUAGCUGGUCUGAGAGGAUGAUCAGCCACACUGGGACUGAGACACGGCCCAGACUCCUACGGGAGGCAGCAGUGGGGAAUAUUGGACAAUGGGCGCAAGCCUGAUCCAGCAAUGCCGCGUGAGUGAUGAAGGCCCUAGGGUUGUAAAGCUCUUUUACCCGGGAAGAUAAUGACUGUACCGGGAGAAUAAGCCCCGGCUAACUCCGUG